AGAGUUUGAUCCUGGCUCAGAAUGAACGCUGGCGGCGUGCUUAACACAUGCAAGUCGCACGAGAAUUCUUCUGCUUGCAGAAGAUAGUAAAGUGGCGCACGGGUGGGUAAUGCGUGGGCAAUCUUCCCUUGAAUCGGGGAUAACAUCGCGAAAGCUUUGCUAAUACCGGAUGACAUCCAUUUGUCUGCGGGCGAAUGGAUCAAAGGUGGCCUCUACAUGUAAGCUACUGUUUGAGGAUGAGCCUGCGUACCAUUAGCUAGUUGGUGGGGUAACGGCCCACCAAGGCGACGAUGGUUAGCUGGUCUGAGAGGAUGAUCAGCCACACUGGAACUGACACACGGUCCAGACUCCUACGGGAGGCAGCAGUGAGGAAUUUUGCGCAAUGGGGGAAACCCUGACGCAGCAACGCCGCGUGAGUGAUGAAGGCCUUCGGGUCGUAAAGCUCUGUCAAGUGGGAAGAACCUGCAGAAAGCUAACAUCUUUUUGCACUGACGGUACCACUGAAGGAAGCACCGGCUAACUCCGUGCCAGCAGCCGCGGUAAUACGGAGGGUGCAAGCGUUAUUCGGAAUUAUUGGGCGUAAAGGGCGCGUAGGCGGCCGUUUAAGUCAGGUGUGAAAGCCCGGGGCUUAACCCCGGAAGUGCAUUUGAUACUGAGCGGCUUGAGUAUGGGAGAGGGAAGUGGAAUUCCUGGUGUAGAGGUGAAAUUCGUAGAUAUCAGGAGGAACACCGGUGGCGAAGGCGACUUCCUGGACCAAUACUGACGCUGAGGCGCGAAGGCGUGGGGAUCAAACAGGAUUAGAUACCCUGGUAGUCCACGCAGUAAACGGUGAUCACUA
rnacentral:rRNA from 1 species